rnacentral:rRNA from 1 species
AGUGAACGCUGGCGGUAGGCCUAACACAUGCAAGUCGAACGGCAGCACAGUAAGAGCUUGCUCUUACGGGUGGCGAGUGGCGGACGGGUGAGGAAUACAUCGGAAUCUACUUUUUCGUGGGGGAUAACGUAGGGAAACUUACGCUAAUACCGCAUACGACCUACGGGUGAAAGCAGGGGAUCUUCGGACCUUGCGCGAUUGAAUGAGCCGAUGUCGGUUUAGCUAGUUGGCGGGGUAAAGGCCCACCAAGGCGACGAUCCGUAGCUGGUCUGAGAGGAGGAUCAGCCCCACGGGACCGGAGACACGGCCCAGGCUCCGAGGGGAGGCAGCAGUGGGGAAGAUUGGACAAGGGGCGCAAGCCUGAUCAAGCCAUGCCGCGUGGGUGCAGAAGGCCUUCGGGUGGUAAAGCCCUUUUGUUGGGAAAGAAAAGCAGCAGGUCAAAACCCCGCUGUUCUGACGGUACCCAAAGAAUAAGCACCGGCUAACUUCGG